GGCACUUAUGAACUCUCCAGCCUGCCUGAUCCUCCCAAGGAACAGGAAAAUACAGCUUUACCCUUUUGGACUGUUUGACCUUGGAAUUUGACACAGGAGACCCUCUAUCCAGGACCCAAAGGGAGAACUCCUUUAAAGAUGCAGGUGUCGGAGUUCCCAUCGUGGCGCAUCGGAAACGAAUCUAACUAGUAUCCAUGGGAUGCAGAUUUGAUUCCUGGGUUAAGGAUGCCGCAUUGCUGUAGCUGGGGCGCAGGCUAGCGGUUGCAGCUUUGAUUCGACCGGGAACUUCCAUAUGUCACCGGUGCGACCCUAAAAAGACAAAAAAAAAAAAAAAAGUUGGGGGUGUCCCCUUUGUCUCCUGGGAAAGCAAGAGAUCAAGUAUAAUGGAAAAAAUAAAAAUCAUAUAAAUUGAAAAGAAAAGAAAAGC
ensembl:lncRNA